rnacentral:rRNA from 1 species
UACGUAGGCAGCAAGCGUUGUUCGGAGUUACUGGGCGUAAAGGGUGUGUAGGCGGUUGUUUAAGUUUGGUGUGAAAUCUCCCGGCUCAACUGGGAGGGUGCGCCGAAUACUGAAUGACUAGAGUGCGGGAGAGGAAAGUGGAAUUCCUGGUGUAGCGGUGAAAUGCGUAGAGAUGCGGAGGAACACCGAUGGCGAAGGCAGCCCCCUGGGCUAACACUGACGCUGAGGCACGAAGGCCAGGGGAGCAAACGGGG